ensembl:processed_transcript
GGGGGCCACCUGCAGACACACCCUGGCUUCGGGACCUUCUUCCUUCUCUUCCCCCUCGGGGCCUAGAGGAGGCCACGCGCGGGGUCUCCGAGCUCUAGGGUCCGGAGCUCUAGGGUCCUUUUAUGUAGCAAAGUCAGGCCUGGGAACAGAACUUCAUGUGCUUGUAAAAAGUCUCAGGUGCGUCCUCGUUGUUUUAGAGACUUGGAGAGGAAUGGGGGCGGGGGGAACAAAAUCCGAGGACAGUCGAGCCAAGAAAAGUCGGGGCUUCUAGGAUGCCAACCACGCCAAACAGAUCAAAACCAGGACUGGAGGACUGAAGAUGAAGCCGGCAAAAAGUCACCAGCCACGGCUCUUGUAAGGUAUGCUUCACCUCUCCUGCUAAGUCUUCAUCCCUGUCUAUGAGGACAAAGAAGUUACGGGUUAAAUUGGCGAUGGGCCAGGCGCUCCUUGAGGAUGCUCUAAAGUUCCAGGGAAUCUGAUGCCUUCUUCUAACCAUCACGAAGACAAGUUGGUGAUAGAAAAUGGGAGAACUGAAGACAACCACUUUAUAAAACCCUUGCCUGCUUGAAUUUGUGGUGAUGAGCUGUCAGAAGACACCGGCACAGGAAGUGAAGGGGCAGGAUCGCCACUCCUCCCAGUUUGCUCUGAACUGUGAGCCCCACUGAAAGGGUCAGCUUUCUUUGGUGCUCUGGCUCAGACAGCACUGUCACG